ensembl:lncRNA
UCAAGCUAGGAUGUGGAUUCAUAGGGGUCCUCUAGAGGUCUGUUCCCAUGUGAGAGCCACAGGGUGGGCCGAAAGCCUGGAGUUGCUGGAGCUAUCUGAGAUUUUGGAAGCCUGAAGUUCCUGGAGUGGAUUGAGAACCUGAGUUCAUGGGAGCUUCCUGGAGCCAAGAAGCCACCAGUGACCACAGCCAUCAGAGUGGGCCAGAAACCUGAGUUCACACAGCCUUCUGCAAGCUGAGGAAGCUGCCUGGACCUUGAGAGCUGUGGGAGGAAGGAUGGGGAACUGGAGCCAGCAGGUGGCUGGGUGAACCUGGGGCCUGAAUUCAGUGCAGCUUUCCAGGUGCCUGGUGCCAAGGAUGCCACCUGCAGUCACUGGAGCCACUGGACACGAGGGUAACUUAGGACCUGUGUUCACAGGAGCCCGUGUGCUUGGAGCUUGGGUGCAACAGGGACCUGUAUUCCCAGGAACCUCUAGGGGGCGCAGCCAUGGGCGGGGCCUGGGUCGCUGGAAAAGACCGACUUCCCGAUGAGUGGGUUUCCAGUUGUGGAGGCUUCUGGGAACUUGGUGCUGAGGAGGACUCCUUGGGCCGCUGGAGGAGAUUCAAGACAUAAACUGUAGGCUGCAUAGAUACCUGAGAAAAGCAUGGGACAAAGUCUUGUUUGCAUGGAAAAGGGGCCGCUUAUCUUCCUUCCCAGCUCUGGACGUCCGCUCAUGAGGAACCUGGCUACACGUAGAGAGACAUGCGCACUCGCAGCCGCCCUCCCAGCAGCGCUGCUCACCAGGGCUAACGCCCGCGAUUCCGCGCCUGAACUACCGGCAUAGACGGAUCACGGACAGUGAGGCCAGCAGCGUUUGAAACCAUCUACUUCACCUUUUCUCCUCAAGUCUCUCCUUAGUCUCCCCAGCUAAGUUGUUCUUCUUGAUAGAGAAAGGAGCUCAGUGGGGAAAGACAGAAGCCCCAGGAGAGAUAAAACACAGAGAUAUUCUUUGCCUUCACAGGGGCUGUCAAGUAGUUCUUAAGAGAUGCUUUACAAACACCCAUCAACAGAUCUUCCCUCAGCAGGAGGCGUGGGGACAACUUGAUCUGAUGAAUCCAGAUAUGGGGAAGAGAGGCAGUAAAAAUAUAAAUAUGUAUAUUAUAGAUUUUAAGAUAGAGAGGAUAUGUGAAAGGUUUCUAAGCAGUUGAGCUGGAAAGGAACAAAAGGAUUCAAGCAAGAAGAGUUUUGUGAACUAUAAUUACAUAUAUACCUUUGACC